GGGGCCAUAGCUCAGCUGGGAGNNNAGAGCGCCUGCAUGGCAUGCAGGAGGUCAGCGGUUCGAUCCCGCUUGGCUCCACCA
rnacentral:tRNA from 1 species